rnacentral:miRNA from 1 species
UUUCCACAUGCUUUCUUGAACU